GAUGAACGCUGGCGGCGUGCCUAAUACAUGCAAGUCGAGCGAAAAGACAGGAAGAUUGCUCCUCUGACGUUAGCGGCGGACGGGUGAGUAACACGUGGAUAACCUACUUAUAAUACUGGGAUGACUACGGGAGAAAGGUGCUACUAAUAGCUCAUAUAUUCAACCGCAUAAUUCAAUAGAGCAAGACGCUUUUGCCGUUUCUUAUAGCUGGUUCCGCGCCGCAUUAGCUAGUUGGUAAGGUAACGGCUUACCAAGGCAACGAUGCGUAGCCGACCUGAGAGGGUGAUCAGCCACACUGGAACUGAGACACGGUCCAGACUCCUACGGGAGGCAGCAGUAGGGAAUCUUCCACAAUGGGCGAAAGCUUGACGGAGCAACACCGCGUGAGUGAUGAAGGCCUUCGGGUCGUAAAGCUCUUUUAUUAGGAAAGAACAAAUGUGUAUUAAACUAUGCACGUCUUGACGGUACCUAAACAGAAAGCCACGGCUAACUACGUG
rnacentral:rRNA from 1 species